CAAGGGGUUCUAACGUGCAAAUCGAUGGUCAAAAUUGGGCAAAGGGCGAAAGNCUAAUCGAACCCCCCUGGUANCUGGUUCCUGCCGAAGUUNCCCCCAGGAUAGCAGUACGUCUUCAGUUUUAUGAGGUAAAGCGAAUGUUUAGUGGUAAGGGGACUAUAACAGUCUUCACCAAUUCACAAACUUUAAAUAUGUAAGAAGUCCUUGUUACUUAACUGAACGUGGACAUUUGAAUGUAUCGUUACUAGUGGGCCAUUUUUGGUAAGCAGAACUGGCGAUGCGGGAUGAACCGAACGUGAGGUUAAGGUGCCGGAAUGCACGCUCAUCAGACACCACAAAAGGUGUCAAUGCAUCUAGACAGUCGGACGGUGGCCAUGGAAGUCGGAAUCCGCUUAGGAGUGUGUAACAACUCACCGACCGAAUGCAUUGGCCCUGAAAAUGGAUGGCGCUUAAGCGUGCUACCUAUACCUCGCCGUUGGGGUUGAAAUGAUGCCCCAACGAGUAGGCAGGCGUGGAGGUU
rnacentral:rRNA from 1 species